GGGCCCGUAGCUCAGCUAGGUUGGAUUCUUAAACUUUAAGCAUCCCUAGAAAGAGCAUCUGGCUUUUAACCAGAUGGCCCGGGGUUCGAAUCCCCGCGGGCCCG
rnacentral:tRNA from 1 species